rnacentral:sRNA from 1 species
UUACGUUAUUCCAUAAAGGUGAUGCCUUC